rnacentral:misc_RNA from 1 species
AAGUAAAAGUCGUAACAAGGUAACCGUAGGUGAACCUGCGGUUGGAUCAUUACUGAUUCCGUAAAAAUGCUUUGUGUAAUGUGUUUGGUUCCCUUUUUUUUCUUUGGUUCAGGAGGGAAGAGAGUCUUGUACUUUUUUUUUUCUUGAGAUUGAGGGAAAGGGGGCACCGCUCACAAGACUAAAGCCGUUACCAUCCUGUUUGCUUUGUAAUGUUGUCAGCUUCUGAGAUAAGAAGACCGCCGUUAAAAGCUGUGUCACCAGUUCGUGGUUUAUUGCAGACCGUGGUUGAUUUUCCGAUGUCCUUUUGUCUCAAUGUUAAACCGCGAUUCCUAUUUAACUGGC